GACGAACGCUGGCGGCGUGCUUAACACAUGCAAGUCGAACGAAGUGGCGGACGGGUGAGUAACGCGUAAUCAACCUGCCCUUCAGAGGGGGACCACAGUUGGAAACGACUGCUAAUACCGCAUACUGAAGGAGGGGAUUGCGUCUGAUUAGCUAGUUGGGGGGGUAACGGCCCACCAAGGCGAUGAUCAGUAGCCGGUCUGAGAGGAUGAACGGCCACAUGGGGACCGAGACACGGCCCAGACUCCUACGGGAGGGAGCAGUGGGGAAUUUUCCGCAAUGGACGAAAGUCUGACGGAGCAACGCCGCGUGAGUUAUGACGGCCUUCGGGUUGGAAAGCUCUGUUAAUCGGGACGCGGUACCGGAAUAGAAAGCCACGGCUAACUACGUGCCAGCAGCCGCGGUAAUAC
rnacentral:rRNA from 1 species